rnacentral:lncRNA from 1 species
CGGAGGCUCGGCCACAACGCCACUGGAUUGGUGGUAGGGCGGGGCGGGCCACAGUCUCCAGCCUGAAGCGGAAGUGGAGGAAAGAUGGAGGACCAUCAGCACGUGCCCAUCGACAUCCAGACCAGCAAGCUGCUCGAUUGAAGCUGACAUCUCCAAGAGGUACAGCGGGCGCCCUGUGAACCUGAUGGGAACCUCUCUGUGACACCCUCCGUGUUCUUGCCUGCCCAUCUUCUCCGCUUUUGGGAUGAAGAUGAUAGCCAGGGCUGUUGUUUUGGGGCCCUUCAAGGCAAAAGACCAGGCUGACUGGAAGAUGGAAAGCCACAGGAAGGAAGCGGCACCUGAUGGUGAUCUUGGCACUCUCCAUGUUCUCUACAAGAAGCUGUGGUGAUUGGCCCUGUGGUCUAUCAGGCGAAAACCACAGAUUCUCCUUCUAGUUAGUAUAGCGGACUUAAUAAAAGAGGAAAAAACUCUU